rnacentral:tRNA from 3 species
GGCCGCGUGGUGGAAUGGUAGACACGAAAGAUUCAAAAUCUUUUGCUUCACGGCGUGCCGGUUCGAGUCCGGCCGCGGCUACCA